rnacentral:misc_RNA from 1 species
AAUCCAAUCAAGCCUGGCUUGGUAUUGGGCGCCGGGGGUUCCCCGCGCCUUAAUUUCACCGGCUGGCCAUCGCCCGUCUUAGCGUUGUGACACACUUCUCGCUACCGAUGGGGACCGGACCACGCCGUCAAAACCCCACAAAUUUCAAUCGAAAUUUGAUUAAUG